CCGGAUUCGAACCGGGGU
rnacentral:tRNA from 1 species